rfam:Caprimulgus carolinensis contig102732, whole genome shotgun sequence.
AAAGCAGGCUGCAAUUACAGUGCUUCAUUCUGUGGGAGUACUGCCAUUUCCCUGCUGAGAGUAAUUCUGUUAACACCAUCUUCGGUUUCACCCAUAUAGUGGUGAAACCAUUUGUUCUUAACAUGUACAAGU